UCAAGGAAGAAGCACUAGCUCCACCUUCAGCACCCAAAGCUGAAAUUCUAUUUAAACUACUCCUUG
rnacentral:tRNA from 1 species